UGAGCCCACUAGUUGUUCUCUUAUUUCUUGCCCUUCCUUUUCACACUCUCUCUUCAUGAAGAUGGCUCUUUUCUAAAAUCCUCAUUACGGUUCAAUCUGCUCGAUAUAUUGAGUUUAUUCUUAAGUAGGUUAGUUAUCUUGUUUGAUUUUCACCCACUUUGCUCUCUUAUUUCUUUCAUUUGCUUUUGAAAUGUUGGAAUGUUCGAGUUCUUCAAAUAGCCGUAGAAGGAUGUGUGGAUGUGGUGUUGCUGCACUCCAUCUCACAUUGCAGACUGAAAUAGUCCCGGAAGAUGCUUUUAAAGCUGGAUGUGGUUAUUGGGAAUGAGAAGACGACGAAUUUCCACCAAGAGCUGUUGUUGUCAUCAACAAAUUGAAAAUGGAAAAGGAUGCUCUUCUUAAAGAAAGAGUUGGAAACGGGGAGACAAUUAUUUCUUAUGUUAUUGGAUUUCAUUAUUGGGAUUGUGGAUAGUUUCAUGUUUGAGGGAAGACUUGAAAUAUGUUUGUAAUUGCUUAUGAUUAUUUUAGUUGUAUAAUUUAGAUGCAUUGUAAUGUAAUGGUUGGAUAAAUGUAAUCGGAAAUGUUUUAGAUGGUUUGGAAUGCAAUAUUAUUUUUGUGUCAUA